GGAACAAAUGUGCCCCAACAUUCUAGUCGGACCCUUUAACUCAAACCUUUAGAGUGUUACACCGCGUGAGGCUGGCUGACACAUGGCUGAAGCCGAACGAUUCCAACCUACCAAUUACCUGACGAGAGGAAGAAGCAAGAACCACGAAGAAUUAAAGAAACACUUCCAUGAUGCUGCAGGCAGCACGGGAUACAUUUCUUGGCAUCUGAAAGCAAUCCAACGCAAGAUUUGUCGAGGAUCUGCACCAUCACCAAAUAGCCCUAUGGACACUUCUCCCAAAUGUCCAGCGAGCUGUUAAUGUACAAAGACAGCUGGAUGGGGAUGCUUGCCAAGGGGUUAUGUCUUUGCUCAACCAUACCACAGACAAUUCCCUGAUUUUUCAGAAAAUGAGAGAAACCUUUCAGCACCGUCAGACGCUUGUUAAUGACCCAAGCAGAGGUGUUGAUAUCCUCUCCACCAUCCCAAGAUUCCUGGAUACCAAAGGAUUGGUGGAUCAAGACUUCACUCUCCUAUUUGAUCAUGAAACAUCCUCCAGGCUCCUUCAGAAAUGGGAUGUGUUCUUCAGUCCAAAUGUCAUGAAAGAGGCUAAGUGGCUUACUUCAGCACCCAGAGUUGCGUCGCUUGUUGCAGAGAGUCCCACAGGAAGUGAUCUUGAUGAGACAACAAUCAUGCUGCAGUUUAGAGGAGCAUCUCCGCAACCAGCAGGGUCGGCAGCCAUACCUCCUCGCUGUUGGGCAUCAGAAGAGCAAGAUUGACAGCUUCUACAUCUCCAUGGAUGAGCAUCUCAUCCCACGCCAGGCAAACCGCUCCCUACCUUGGGGCUUUGGACGAACUUUCCAAAACCCAUUUUGUGUUUAAUUUGUCGUACGAUGCUGCGUUACUGAAUUUUUACACAUUCUUGCGGACAACAGUGUAUAACAUUCAUGUGGGGAAAAUGAAGGAGUCACCCAGAGCCAGAUUGCUUGACCAGCUAGUACCGGUCUCACUCUCUGAGUAAGAGGCUAAAACAAUACUGACCGGUUUCGUGUGUCAGAAUGUGUAUCCCAGCAGCCAGAAGUUGAUGGUGUUAUACUGGAACCGUUGAUAAAUUAUAUAAAAUUACUGAAAACCCAAGGCCUUAGUCUUAGUAGUGUUUGAUUGAGAGGAAUGAUUCUCAAACAGUAUACUGUGAGGAAGAUCCCAAAGUGAUCCUUCGUGGAAAACAUAUGUUUGAUAUGCAUUACAAAUGUCUCCAAGACAACCCACAAUUGAACUCCUUGCAUGGUUUGAAAAAGACUUCUACACUUAACUCAUUGAAUUAUUUCCAUGUUUGAAAUAAUUACUAAUUUGAUAUAAUGCAUGACCUUCUUGAGGGUGUGACUCAGUGUGAGAUCAAAUUGCUUUUUGAAUAUCUCACAAAAGACUUAAUAUCACAACAGAACUUGCUUUCCAGGAUUUAUGGUGUUGACUACGGAUUUGUAAAACGAAAGAAAUGUCCCACAAAGAUAAUUUUGGACAGUGCUGGGAGUUAAUUCAACACAGGACUUUUUGCAAGGUCCAGGGUGUGGUUUAAACGGUGAGUUGGUUUAUGUACAUCCUGACUGAACCCAAU